rnacentral:rRNA from 1 species
AACCCGACCACACGAAGCUGGAAUCGCUAGUAAUCGCGAAUCAGAAUGUCGCGGUGAAUACGUUCCCGGGUCUUGUACACACCGCCCGUCACACCAUGGGAGUCAGCAACGCCCGAAGUCAGUGACCUAACCGAAAGGGAGGAGCUGCCGAAGGCGGGGCCGGUAACUGGGGUGAAGUCGUAACAAGGUAAC